UACGGGGGGAGCAAGCGUUGUUCGGAUUUACUGGGCGUGAAGGGCGCGUAGGCGGUCAGCACAAGUCAGUUGUGAAAUCUCCGGGCUUAACUCGGAAAGGUCAACUGAUACUGUGCGACUAGAGUGCAGAAGGGGCAACUGGAAUUCUCGGUGUAGCGGUGAAAUGCGUAGAUAUCGAGAGGAACACCUGCGGCGAAGGCGGGUUGCUGGGCUGACACUGACGCUGAUGCGCGAAAGCCAGGGGAGCGAACGGG
rnacentral:rRNA from 1 species